rnacentral:rRNA from 1 species
UUACUCCUACGGGAGGCAGCAGUAGGGAAUCUUCCACAAUGGGCGAAAGCCUGAUGGAGCAACGCCGCGUGGGUGAAGAAGGUCUUCGGAUCGUAAAACCCUGUUGUUAGAGAAGAAAGUGCGUGGGAGUAACUGUUCACGUUUCGACGGUAUCUAACCAGAAAGCCACGGCUAACUACGUGCCAGCAGCCGCGGUAAUACGUAGGUGGCAAGCGUUAUCCGGAUUUAUUGGGCGUAAAGGGAACGCAGGCGGACUUUCAAGUCUGAUGUGAACGCCUUCGGCUUAACCGGAGUAGUGCAUUGGA